AGCGGGGGAAGGUAGCUUGCUACCGGACCUAGCGGCGGACGGGUGAGUAAUGCUUAGGAAUCUGCCUAUUAGUGGGGGACAACAUCUCGAAAGGGAUGCUAAUACCGCAUACGUCCUACGGGAGAAAGCAGGGGAUCUUCGGACCUUGCGCUAAUAGAUGAGCCUAAGUCGGAUUAGCUAGUUGGUGGGGUAAAGGCCUACCAAGGCGACGAUCUGUAGCGGGUCUGAGAGGAUGAUCCGCCACACUGGG
rnacentral:rRNA from 1 species